rnacentral:misc_RNA from 1 species
UACGGAGGAUCCAAGCGUUAUCCGGAAUCAUUGGGUUUAAAGGGUCCGUAGGCGGGUCAAUCAGUCAGUGGUGAAAGUCUGCAGCUUAACUGUAGAACUGCCAUUGAUACUGAUUGUCUUGAGUUAUUAUGAAGUGGUUAGAAUAUGUAGUGUAGCGGUGAAAUGCAUAGAUAUUACAUAGAAUACCGAUUGCGAAGGCAGAUCACUAAUAAAAUACUGACGCUGAUGGACGAAAGCGUAGGUAGCGAACCGG